GAUGAACGCUAGCGGCAGGCCUAAUACAUGCAAGUCGAACGAGACCUUCGGGUCUAGUGGCGCACGGGUGCGUAACGCGUGGGAAUCUGCCCUUGGGUUCGGAAUAACAGUUGGAAACGACUGCUAAUACCGGAUGAUGACUUCGGUCCAAAGAUUUAUCGCCCAGGGAUGAGCCCGCGUAGGAUUAGCUUGUUGGUGAGGUAAAGGCUCACCAAGGCGACGAUCCUUAGCUGGUCUGAGAGGAUGAUCAGCCACACUGGGACUGAGACACGGCCCAGACUCCUACGGGAGGCAGCAGUGGGGAAUAUUGGACAAUGGGCGAAAGCCUGAUCCAGCAAUGCCGCGUGAGUGAUGAAGGCCUUAGGGUUGUAAAGCUCUUUUACCCGGGAUGAUAAUGACAGUACCGGGAGAAUAAGCCCCGGCUAACUCCGUGCCAGCAGCCGCCGCGGUAA
rnacentral:rRNA from 1 species